UUAAGCGACUAAGCGUACACGGUGGAUGCCCUGGCAGUCAGAGGCGAUGAAGGACGUGCUAAUCUGCGAAAAGCGACGGCGAGGUGAUAUGAACCUUUGACCCGUCGAUGUCCGAAUGGGGAAACCCAGUGCAAUUCGUUGCACUAUCGUUAACUGAAUACAUAGGUUAACGAGGCGAACCGGGGGAACUGAAACAUCUAAGUACCCCGAGGAAAAGAAAUCAACCGAGAUUCCCCCAGUAGCGGCGAGCGAACGGGGAGCAGCCCGGAGUCUGAAUCAGCUUGUGUGUUAGUGGAAGCGUCUGGAAAGUCGCACGGUACAGGGUGACAGUCCCGUACACGAAAAUGCACAGGUUGUGAACUCGAAGAGUAGGGCGGGACACGUGGUAUCCUGUCUGAAUAUGGGGGGACCAUCCUCCAAGGCUAAAUACUCCUGACUGACCGAUAGUGAACCAGUACCGUGAGGGAAAGGCGAAAAGAACCCCGGCGAGGGGAGUGAAAAAGAACCUGAAACCGUGUACGUACAAGCAGUGGGAGCACCUUCGUGGUGUGACUGCGUACCUUUUGUAUAAUGGGUCAGCGACUUAUAUUCUGUAGCAAGGUUAACCGUAUAGGGGAGCCGCAGGGAAACCGAGUCUUAACUGGGCGUUAAGUUGCAGGGUAUAGACCCGAAACCCGGUGAUCUAGCCAUGGGCAGGUUGAAGGUUGGGUAACACUAACUGGAGGACCGAACCGACUAAUGUUGAAAAAUUAGCGGAUGACCUGUGGCUGGGGGUGAAAGGCCAAUCAAACCGGGAGAUAGCUGGUUCUCCCCGAAAGCUAUUUAGGUAGCGCCUCGUGAACUCAUCUUCGGGGGUAGAGCACUGUUUCGGCUAGGGGGCCAUCCCGGCUUACCAACCCGAUGCAAACUACGAAUACCGAAGAAUGUUAUCACGGGAGACACACGGCGGGUGCUAACGUCCGUCGUGAAGAGGGAAACAACCCAGACCGCCAGCUAAGGUCCCAAAGUCAUGGUUAAGUGGGAAACGAUGUGGGAAGGCACAGACAGCCAGGAUGUUGGCUUAGAAGCAGCCAUCAUUUAAAGAAAGCGUAAUAGCUCACUGGUCGAGUCGGCCUGCGCGGAAGAUGUAACGGGGCUAAACCAUGCACCGAAGCUGCGGCAGCGACGCUUAUGCGUUGUUGGGUAGGGGAGCGUUCUGUAAGCCGUUGAAGGUGUGCUGUGAGGCAUGCUGGAGGUAUCAGAAGUGCGAAUGCUGACAUAAGUAACGAUAAAGCGGGUGAAAAGCCCGCUCGCCGGAAGACCAAGGGUUCCUGUCCAACGUUAAUCGGGGCAGGGUGAGUCGACCCCUAAGGCGAGGCCGAAAGGCGUAGUCGAUGGGAAACAGGUUAAUAUUCCUGUACUUGGUGUUACUGCGAAGGGGGGACGGAGAAGGCUAUGUCAGCCGGGCGACGGUUGUCCCGGUUUAAGCGUGUAGGUGUGUGUUCCAGGCAAAUCCGGUUCACUUUAACACUGAGGCGUGAUGACGAGGCACUACGGUGCUGAAGUGAUAAAUGCCCUGCUUCCAGGAAAAGCCUCUAAGCAUCAGGUAACAUCAAAUCGUACCCCAAACCGACACAGGUGGUCAGGUAGAGAAUACCAAGGCGCUUGAGAGAACUCGGGUGAAGGAACUAGGCAAAAUGGUGCCGUAACUUCGGGAGAAGGCACGCUGAUAUGUAGGUGAAGUCCCUGCGGACGGAGCUGAAAUCAGUCGAAGAUACCAGCUGGCUGCAACUGUUUAUUAAAAACACAGCACUGUGCAAACACGAAAGUGGACGUAUACGGUGUGACGCCUGCCCGGUGCCGGAAGGUUAAUUGAUGGGGUUAGCGGCAACGCGAAGCUCUUGAUCGAAGCCCCGGUAAACGGCGGCCGUAACUAUAACGGUCCUAAGGUAGCGAAAUUCCUUGUCGGGUAAGUUCCGACCUGCACGAAUGGCGUAAUGAUGGCCAGGCUGUCUCCACCCGAGACUCAGUGAAAUUGAACUCGCUGUGAAGAUGCAGUGUACCCGCGGCAAGACGGAAAGACCCCGUGAACCUUUACUAUAGCUUGACACUGAACACUGGUCCUUGAUGUGUAGGAUAGGUGGGAGGCUUUGAAGCGUGGACGCCAGUCUGCGUGGAGCCGUCCUUGAAAUACCACCCUUUAAUGGCUGGUGUUCUAACGUGGACCCGUAAUCCGGGUUGCGGACAGUGUCUGGUGGGUAGUUUGACUGGGGCGGUCUCCUCCCAAAGAGUAACGGAGGAGCACGAAGGUUAGCUAAUCCUGGUCGGACAUCAGGAGGUUAGUGCAAUGGCAUAAGCUAGCUUGACUGCGAGAGUGACGGCUCGAGCAGGUGCGAAAGCAGGUCAUAGUGAUCCGGUGGUUCUGAAUGGAAGGGCCAUCGCUCAACGGAUAAAAGGUACUCCGGGGAUAACAGGCUGAUACCGCCCAAGAGUUCAUAUCGACGGCGGUGUUUGGCACCUCGAUGUCGGCUCAUCACAUCCUGGGGCUGAAGUAGGUCCCAAGGGUAUGGCUGUUCGCCAUUUAAAGUGGUACGCGAGCUGGGUUUAGAACGUCGUGAGACAGUUCGGUCCCUAUCUGCCGUGGGCGCUGGAGAAUUGAGGGGGGCUGCUCCUAGUACGAGAGGACCGGAGUGGACGCAUCACUGGUGUUCGGGUUGUCAUGCCAAUGGCACUGCCCGGUAGCUAAAUGCGGAAGAGAUAAGUGCUGAAAGCAUCUAAGCACGAAACUUGCCCCGAGAUGAGUUCUCCCUGAGACUUUAAGUCUCCUGAAGGAACGUUGAAGACGAUGACGUUGAUAGGCCGGGUGUGUAAGCGCAGCGAUGCGUUGAGCUAACCGGUACUAAUGAACCGUGAGGCUUAACCUU
rnacentral:rRNA from 1 species